rnacentral:rRNA from 1 species
AUUGAACGCUGGCGGCAGGCCUAACACAUGCAAGUCGAGCGGUAGCACAGAGAGCUUGCUCUCGGGUGACGAGCGGCGGACGGGUGAGUAAUGUCUGGGAAACUGCCUGAUGGAGGGGGAUAACUACUGGAAACGGUAGCUAAUACCGCAUAACGUCGCAAGACCAAAGUGGGGGACCUUCGGGCCUCAUGCCAUCAGAUGUGCCCAGAUGGGAUUAGCUAGUAGGUGGGGUAACGGCUCACCUAGGCGACGAUCCCUAGCUGGUCUGAGAGGAUGACCAGCCACACUGGAACUGAGACACGGUCCAGACUCCUACGGGAGGCAGCAGUGGGGAAUAUUGCACAAUGGGCGCAAGCCUGAUGCAGCCAUGCCGCGUGUGUGAAGAAGGCCUUCGGGUUGUAAAGCACUUUCAGCGGGGAGGAAGGCGAUAAGGUUAAUAACCUUGUCGAUUGACGUUACCCGCAGAAGAAGCACCGGCUAACUCCGUGCCAGCAGCCGCGGUAAUACGGAGGGUGCAAGCGUUAAUCGGAAUUACUGGGCGUAAAGCGCACGCAGGCGGUCUGUCAAGUCGGAUGUGAAAUCCCCGGGCUCAACCUGGGAACUGCAUUCGAAACUGGCAGGCUAGAGUCUUGUAGAGGGGGGUAGAAUUCCAGGUGUAGCGGUGAAAUGCGUAGAGAUCUGGAGGAAUACCGGUGGCGAAGGCGGCCCCCUGGACAAAGACUGACGCUCAGGUGCGAAAGCGUGGGGAGCAAACAGGAUUAGAUACCCUGGUAGUCCACGCCGUAAACGAUGUCGAUUUGGAGGUUGUGCCCUUGAGGCGUGGCUUCCGGAGCUAACGCGUUAAAUCGACCGCCUGGGGAGUACGGCCGCAAGGUUAAAACUCAAAUGAAUUGACGGGGGCCCGCACAAGCGGUGGAGCAUGUGGUUUAAUUCGAUGCAACGCGAAGAACCUUACCUGGUCUUGACAUCCACAGAACUUUCCAGAGAUGGAUUGGUGCCUUCGGGAACUGUGAGACAGGUGCUGCAUGGCUGUCGUCAGCUCGUGUUGUGAAAUGUUGGGUUAAGUCCCGCAACGAGCGCAACCCUUAUCCUUUGUUGCCGGCGGUUCGGCCGGGAACUCAAAGGAGACUGCCAGUGAUAAACUGGAGGAAGGUGGGGAUGACGUCAAGUCAUCAUGGCCCUUACGACCAGGGCUACACACGUGCUACAAUGGCAUAUACAAAGAGAAGCGACCUCGCGAGAGCAAGCGGACCUCAUAAAGUAUGUCGUAGUCCGGAUUGGAGUCUGCAACUCGACUCCAUGAAGUCGGAAUCGCUAGUAAUCGUAGAUCAGAAUGCUACGGUGAAUACGUUCCCGGGCCUUGUACACACCGCCCGUCACACCAUGGGAGUGGGUUGCAAAAGAAGUAGGUAGCUUAACCUUCGGGAGGGCGCUUACCACUUUGUGAUUCAUGACUGGGGUGA